rnacentral:rRNA from 1 species
UACGGAGGGUGCAAGCGUUAAUCGGAAUUACUGGGCGUAAAGCGUGCGCAGGCGGUUCGCUAAGACAGAUGUGAAAUCCCCGGGCUUAACCUGGGAACUGCAUUUGUGACUGGCGGGCUAGAGUAUGGCAGAGGGGGUAGAAUCCACGUGUAGCAGUGAAAUGCGUAGAGAUGUGGAGGAAUACCGAUGGCGAAGGCAGCCCCCUGGGCCAAUACUGACGCUCAUGCACGAAAGCGUGGGGAGCAAACAGG